rnacentral:siRNA from 1 species
UCUUCAUUUUGUUUUCAGGUUCGA